AGUAAAAUCACUCUCCUUACAUUAUAAAUAAAAGUACAUAAUAGUAAAAAAAUAUUAUAAAACACAAUAGUAAUUUUUCAUUAAUAUAUCAACUAUAAUUUACACCAAUGAUGUAAAUUAUUUUAAACAUAACAUUUUUCAUCACAACUUUUUAUUCUUUAACUAUAUAUCAUAUCUUUAUGUUGAAGAAGUCAUUCUUCUUUCAACUCUUCCACUUCUACUUCUGCUCAAACCAGACAAUAGGUGAGUAUGCUUCAAGCAAUGAAAAUAAAAGCUUAGAUGGAAAACGUUGUCGUAUUUAUUUUAAUUCGAUAUUAUUGCGUAUUUAUAAUAAUAUAUAUUUUUUUAAAAAGGAUUCUGACAACAACAUUCCAUUUCAAAAUCACAUUCACCAUUUCGAAACCCCUGCAGAAUGCAUCUUCUUCCACAAUCUGCACAAUCCCCAAAAAUGCAUUUUAUUUUUCUAUUAUCGUCUUGGGUUGUUGCUCCUGCUACAAAAAAAAAAACUCUCAAACUCAAAACUCCAUUUGAUAUUUUAACAAUGAUGUACAAAAUAGAAUUCAAGGGAGGAAAGUUCUUGUGUUUCUUACCAGAAGAUAGGAGCAAUGCAAUGCAUAAAAGUCCCAAGAGAAAAAGCUUGCAAAUGUGCAUUGCCAUUUUUUCUGAAGAUUUAUUCUUUCAACUCUAUUAUUAUCUUUGGUUAUCGCAUUAUGCAUAGCAAACUUCAAGUGCUUUAUAUAG
rnacentral:lncRNA from 1 species